ensembl:lncRNA
AUGAGACACAGUUCAAUCAACGCCCUCAGACAGCCUAGAAACCUGAAGAUCAACUGAACGUUUGUUCAGACACGUUCCUCUUAAAGGAUCAGAAACAUGGAGAAAGUUUGCGUCCUGUUUGUUGGAUUUCUGUGUUUUUCUGUGGGACAAUCGAGCACUACUGUUGAUCCUACAACAACAGAAACAACAUCAACUCCACCAACAGACUACUGGACAAUGACUUCUGCACCAUCAACUCAGCAACCUGGCCCUUCAGUAAUUACUGGCUUGAGAAUUAAUGUCAAAUCUCUGGUUGAUCUGUCCAGUAACUCACCUGAGAUGGAGCUACUUGUGCGUCAGAUUGAAACGUUCAUUCCUUCCCAACACAAAGCAACAACGUCCAUUACUGUGAGAAGCAUAAAGAAAGGCUCCAGAACUUCUUAGAAACAUUCAUUUAUUGUAAGCUUGUAUUCAUGCUUUAGUAGGGUCAGAUAAAUUGUCAUGACUAUGGUAUACUUGUGUAGUUUUAUCAGAGCACAUACAUGAAUGUGAUUUUUUUUCUUUGGUUAUAAAGUUCUUUAAAUCAGCAGUAGUGUCAUGGUACAGCAAGGCACAACUUUAAGAUUAAUUGUUGUUAAUGAAAUACUAUUAAGCUCUGAGUCUGGACAGCAAAUAAACAGGUUUUGCGUUCAUUUUAUUUAUAUAUUCUAUAUGUAAUAUUUUGACUGUACUAAAUCAGAAAACUACCAUAAUAUCUUUGCACAGAUAUUUAGGAAACAUGCUACGUUCACAUACUUUUGUCUCCAAUAAACAAUGCUAGACAGUUGCGUGUCCUCGAUCUGGCAACCUGCAUGAGUGUCUAGUCUGAGGAGGAGAGACGGGAGAAACAACUCUUAAAUAUUUAGAAUUUGGACUGCAGUACCCAUUCUAACGUUAGCUGUCAAUAUCACAUACUGCUCCUUUAAUAGAUCUCAGUCUCUUAGUGAAUAGUGAAGUGACAUGUGGUCAAGUAUGGUGACCCAUACUCUGAAUUAGUGCUCUGCAUUUAUCCCAUCCAAAGUGCACACACACAGCAGUGAACGCACACGCACACGCACGCACACGCACGCAC